UACGUAGGGUGCGAGCGUUAAUCGGAAUUACUGGGCGUAAAGCGUGCGCAGGCGGUUUUGUAAGCCAGAUGUGAAAUCCCCGGGCUUAACCUGGGAACUGCAUUUGUGACUGGCAGGCUAGAGUAUGGCAGAGGGGGGUAGAAUUCCACGUGUAGCAGUGAAAUGCGUAGAGAUGUGGAGGAAUACCGAUGGCGAAGGCAGCCCCCUGGGCCAAUACUGACGCUCAUGCACGAAAGCGUGGGGAGCAAACAGG
rnacentral:rRNA from 1 species